CGGGCUUCCUUCUAUUGCCUAUUCAAAACCAGACAUAGAGAAAUUAACCAACAGGCAUUCCCUUCAGGAGUUUGUCAACAAAAACAGAGCCAAAGUCAAGACGGUAACUUUCCUGUUGCCUGUGGAUGAUAUUUACACCAAUCGACCAGUACUGGCCGAGCACCUGCCUGAAAGGAGCACCUGUGAACUCAAAACUAUAGCUGAAACUGACUCGUGAGGUCCAAACUACUAGCAGGAAACAGAAACGCCUGUGAAAGGAAUGUUUGUGAAUCUGACAAAUAGGAGGUUCAGUAAUGUGGUCAAACUCUGUCCUAAUUCAUUUAAGACGUUGCAGGUGAGUCCUGCGGUGAAUUAAUACCUACACCUGACCUCAACACUUUGACUCCUGUUACAGAUUUGGUUUCUCAAAAUAAUCCAGCUGAAGAAACUCAAGUCAUCUCGUGGUCUCGUCUGAAGACCUGGCAAUCUCGCUCUGGCGUAUGGAUCAGGUGUCUGUACACACAUUCUGAUCGUGUGAAGUGCCACGGGAGACAUGCACUUCCUGCCCACUUCUACGAGUUUAGCACAGAGCGCUUUGAAUGACAUACUUUAGUUGUUUGAGUCAUUUUGUUUUUAUUUCUCCCUGAAAUCUUAGCUUGCCUAAUUGGAACUUAACAUAGUUGACUUCAAAACAUGUUUAUCUAAAAACUAAGUGCAUGCAAUCUUCAUACUAUUAAAGCUGUGACUCAUUUGCUACAUGAAAGAGAAUGAAGCCAAAGGAAGGUUUACACUUUAUUAUUAGUAUUAUUAUUAGUGAGUUAAUUGGGCUAUAUGUGAGAAUGUUCAUGUGUUAAUAGCUUUUUUGUUGCCAAUGUGUGAACUGCUUAUUAAAAAAAAAAAACUAGAUUGUCUAUGAAAGCCUGUAGAGGUGCCAGGACGUUUUUGCUGGGAAAAUCAAAAGGUUGUUCUGCCGAGAGCCCCAUAAAACGAAUGCUUAUAUAAUGUUCAGGAUAAUACAGAAAGAGCUUUCUGUACUGUAAUGUCAAUGUGUCAUGCAAAAAAAAAAAAAAAAAAA